GCCAGGCCUGGUGGCGGGCACCUGUAAUUCCAACUACUCGGGAGGCUGAGGCAGGAGAAUGGCGUAAACCCCGGAGGCGGAGCUUGCAGUGAGCUGAGAUCCGGCCACUGCACUCCAGCCUGGCAACAGAGCGAGACUCCNNNNNNNNNNGGAGUCUCGCUCUGUUGCCAGGCUGGAGUGCAGUGGCCGGAUCUCAGCUCACUGCAAGCUCCGCCUCCUGGGUUCACGCCAUUCUCCUGCCUCAG
rfam:Chlorocebus sabaeus isolate 1994-021 chromosome 5, whole genome shotgun sequence.